rnacentral:piRNA from 1 species
UCGCUCAGACCUUGUAUUCAACGUUGAGA